AACGCACAUUGCGCCCUUUGGUAUUCCUUAGGGCAUGCCUGUUCGAGCGUCAUCCAAACCCUCAAGCACUGCUUGGUGUUGGGCGCCUGUCCCCGCCUCCGGGCGCGGACUCGCCUCAAAAGCAUUGGCGGCCCGCGUAGUGGCUUCGAGCGCAGCAGACCCGCGACUCGUCCCCUCUGGCGCGGGCGUCCAGCAAGACGCAACCCCCAAGUUUGACCUCGGAUCAGGUAGGGAUACCCGCUGAACUUAA
rnacentral:misc_RNA from 1 species